AUCAGUGUUUCCCCCAUGUGCAGUGUUUCACUGGGUUUGGAAACUCAGGACGGAAAGUUCGUGGACACGUGGGGACCUGCCAGGCUUGCCUGUGAGACUCCCACACAGGGACCUGUCUUUGCUACACGUAAGGCUGCUUUUAGCUGUGCUCUUGGCAAGGGCUGUGGACGACACAGAGGCUGCCUGUGUGUCCAUCGGGUGUCCCUCCAGUUUGCUGAGUUACCCUGUGUUUAAAAAUUCUCACCUGGGGAUAUUUUAUUGUUGAUUUUGGAGACAGACAGACGGAGAGAGACAUCAGUGCAAGAGAGAAACAUUGACUCGUUGCCUCCCGCAGGUGCCCUGACCAGGAAUCGAACCCGCAACCUCUCGGUGCACAGGACGAUUCCCUGAGCAGCUGAGCCCCCCGGCCAGGGCACGAGUUCCCCUGUGUUACAGAGGUGUUACAGUCCUUUGCUUUGUCACGUGCCGGAGCCUGGUAUUCUAAAAACAACUCUCUGGGUACCAGGGAGCAGAACCAUGUUUGGGGACAGAGACCAGCUGGAACGUCAGAAAUGCUGGCAUUUCAGACGGAGGCUGCCCAGGAAGAGGGCCAGACAGCUGUGGGGAGAGAACACAGGGACAGACAAGCAUCGGGAAAAUGAACAAAAGCCUGCGAGGACUGUGUCAUAACGACGGAUGCUUAACGUGGUGAAAAGCACACAAACUGUUACAACUUCUGGUCCAAACUGUUGCCCAAGACCGUGACGUGACCACUGAAGGCAUUUCCUGCUCUGAGAGGCUUCGGCUGCAAGUCCAAGGGGACUUGAAGGGAAGAGAAAAGACAGAAUCUCCCGUUUCCACCCUCAGAAAGCUCUCGUUUUCAGCAGGUGCAGCCAUCUGGGACCAAUGUUUGAUGGAGAGCGAGAAGCCACUCUCCUCUCGUCAAAGCUGCGACUGGUGAGACCCCAAAGCUUGCCAGGCUGGGAAGGGGCAGCCCAUCCGGGACCGAGACACCCACCUCCACCGACACGUUCGGGAAGAGUGACUGACCCAUGCGGGACACCAGUUUGCCCAAGCGUGAAGUCAGAAGGAGCAUUUCAACCCCUGUCAUGGAAUCGCUGCACAGAACACCCAACCAUGGCCAGGUAAUGCUGGAGGAGCACUUUGCACGGAGCCAAUUCACAUCAGUACUUAAGAUGGCCCGGCCCCCGGCUGCCUGCUUGGUGACGAGGUGCAGGCUCCAGGCCACUUCACCUGAUGGGACUCCGUGGUCGUGGUGCUUGUUCGUGUCUCAUGGGGGGGACUCCGUGAGGCAGCCAAAGGAAGGCAAAGGAAAUUGCACAUGACCUUCUGCCCUGAAGAGUUGAGGUGUGAAAGAGAGGACCCCAAAUGUGAAUAGCGAUGAUGGAAUUGGGUCGGGGAGCUACAGUCCCCUCACAGCAGCCGGCCACGCCCUCUGCCCGCAGCCCCGCAUGGAUGGGGCCGAAGGCACAGCCCUUGGGGUCAAACCUGAAACCCCACGCGAGUUCUCGGUGCCUCUCUGCCUUCUUUAGAAAGGCCUGGAGCAGCGUCCCCCUCCAUCCGUCUCAGACCUCGUGUGCUGUCAGACCACCGUGAGAACGAGGGAAAAGCCACCCGUGUGUGCAAAGGUGACAGUCACAGGGCUGCAGAGCCAUGACCUCCCUCCCUCACUACGUGCCGUCCAGCCUGUAAUCACUGCCCACAGGGAGGGUGCCCAAGAGGCCGUGGCACCCAGGGACCUCCUGUGUACAGAGCCUCUCUGGCGUCAGGCACAGGGGCACGGCCCCUGGGUCCCGUCCCUGCCCUCCGUGACACACACCGUUGACAGGGGAGGAACGCGCACAGCUCCUUCGACAUGGAGGUGACAGCUCAGUGCUCCAGUGGCUCUUGCGGAAAAGUAUGUGAAACAGGUUUUUGUUUCAGCGUCGAGAACAAGAGAACGCGCACGUCCACCCAGCUGCCUUACGAUUUGUGUGCUUUUAACGUAAUGCCCGCCUUCAUCAAAAUAUUUACAUACAAGUGAUAACAAAGGAAAGAGCCGCGUAGUUGUACAAGAUUAUCCCUGAGUUGGCAAGAGUCUAUUUCUGCAUGUUUGCAAUUCUUCAAAAUAGAAAUAUAGAGGUGCAUAAAUGUGGCCAAUGUCAGAGAGAAUGAUUAGACCCCUCUCAAGUGCAAAUCCAUUACAACUCAGGACACGCGUGUGGCUCCUCCGGCUGCUUCAGGGCGGGAGUGAGUUUGGGCCACAGCACUGCGUGCUCUGACCACCCGUGGGGCAAGGUGGGGCGACUUCAGCCACGUCAGGACACUUUUGCUCCUUGUCUAGAAGCCCGAACAAAGAGAAGGGGCCCCAUCCUUGGUCUGAGGCAGCCCAGGUGUCCCGCUCCCCAUCGCUGCAGGCCGUGGGGGUCCCAGCUCUCGUGGGCUCUCCAAGGACUCAACUCCAGAGAGACACACACGCCCCUCUCACUGUCAAGUGCAACCCCCUCCUUCCCAACCAGGGCCCUCUCUGCACCCCCAGUCACUCCCCAAAGCCCUGCACUUCCAGGGGAACAGAGAAGCUUUCUGCCAAAUUGUCCCUCCCUCCCCAAAGGGACAAUCCAAUUAAUCUCCCUCCACAGCCUAUAAAAAAAGCUUUGUACCUCCCUCCCUUUCUCCUUUUAGAAGCUCAGACCUCUCAAAGUCUGCAAGGGGGUUGGAAUGAAAUGAUCUGCACUUCCCCAUGCCUCCACCAGGGCGGAGCCAAAACAGACAAACACCCAGGAAGUGACCCCAGCUUUUCCUUAAUCCCACCCCCACUACAAGUCCCAUUAGCUAAGACUGUCAUGCUCAGAAGUCCACGUGAUUAUUCCAUCUCUGGGUUCCCAGUGACAAUCAUGAUCACCCGGUGUCGGGCCUGGGGUAGGUGCCCGGUUAGGGCUGGUGAUGGACAGGCAGGGCAGCUGGCUUGUGCUAGUUCACAAGCCAGAGAGGAAAAAUUACAUUUGAGACCCGAUUUGCAUUCCCCGUGAUUCAAAUGCUAACUGGUGUCACACCGCGUCCUCUCCCGGGCAGCCCUGCAUCCCUUGAAAUCGGGGAACCAGAACCACUGGAGUGGCCAACGGCCUCCUCUGAGCCGGUGUGGCCUUCCCUCCCGGCCCCCGCUGCUGCCUCCAGGGCUGUCCUGGGAUGACUGGGUCGCCUGGGAGCCCCGCAGCCUCUGGCUCACGGGCUGCUUCUCAUCAACUGCUGCUCUCCCUCCUCCCUGCACUGGACCUUCCAAAGGUCCUGGCCUUGGCCCCGCCUCCUGCCA